UGGGCUUCCUCCUUGUGCUGCUGGGGACUCCGAUCUCUCCGCCAUGUUCUGGGCUCCCGUUCUCAGCCUCCUAGUGAUGUGGGGCACAGGUUCCCACUCCCAGCUGGUGCUCACUCAGCCUCCGUCCGCAUCCGUGUCCCUGGGAAACACCGUGAGGCUCUCCUGCGCCUUCAGCAGCGGAGUCAGCGUCAGUGGCCAAUAUGUGAACUGGUACCAGCAGAAGGCUGGCGGCCCCCCACAAUACCUCUUGCAGUAUUACUCGGACUCCAACAAGCACCAAGGCUCGGGGGUCCCCGCUCGCUUCUCUGGCUCCAAGGACACCUCCACCAACAGUGGCAUUUUGACCAUCUCUGGAGUCCAGGCAGAGGACGAGGCCGAUUAUUACUGUGGAACAGCUCAUGGCAGUGGCAGCAGCUGGCAGUUGGCACAGUGA